AGUAACAGUUAGAAAUGACUGCUAAUAACCGCAUAAGCGCACAGUGCCGCAUGGCGAGUGUGUGAAAAACUACCGGUGGUGUGAGAUGGAUCCGCGUCUGAUUAGCCAGUUGGCGGGGUAACGGCCCACCAAGGCGACGAUCAGUAGCCGGUCUGAGAGGAUGAACGGCCACACUGGAACUGAGACACGGUCCAGACUCCUACGGGAGGCAGCAUG
rnacentral:rRNA from 1 species